rnacentral:rRNA from 1 species
GACGAACGCUGGCGGCGUGCUUAACACAUGCGAGUCGAACGGAAAGGCCCUGCUUUUGUGGGGUGCUCGAGUGGCGAACGGGUGAGUAACACGUGAGUAACCUGCCCUUGACUUUGGGAUAACUUCAGGAAACUGGGGCUAAUACCGGAUAGGAGCUCCUGCUGCAUGGUGGGGGUUGGAAAGUUUCGGCGGUUGGGGAUGGACUCGCGGCUUAUCAGCUUGUUGGUGGGGUAGUGGCUUACCAAGGCUUUGACGGGUAGCCGGCCUGAGAGGGUGACCGGCCACAUUGGGACUGAGAUACGGCCCAGACGCCUACGGGAGACAGCAGUGGGGACUUUUGCACAAUGGGCGGAAGCCUGAUGCAGCAACGCCGCGUGCGGUAUGACGGCCUUCGGGUUGUAAACCGCUUUCGCCUGUGACGAAGCGUGAGUGACGGUAAUGGGUAAAGAAGCACCGGCUAACUACGUG